GGUUUGUGGCUCAGUGGUAGAGCAUUUGCCUUGCAUGUACAAGACCCUGGGUUUGAUCCUCAGCACCA
rnacentral:tRNA from 1 species